rnacentral:lncRNA from 12 species
GGGAGUUAAGGAACAGCUGGGAGUGAAGGCACCAGGCAGAACACCGUUCUCAGUGUCAUGCAUGUCUGCCAUCUCGUGGUCUACCACAUAUCUGAUGCAUUAUAAAAAGUCUGAGAACACUAGUGAACAUGCCUUGCACUCAAUUUUAAUGUAAUAAUAAUAGUAAUAAUUCUGUUCUUACAUAAUUAUAUUAUCAAUGUAACGAUCAGUAAAGUUGAGUUUGGAAUUUUAGAAUACAUUAGUAUUUGGUUUGUGACUCCUCUGCUGUAAUGUCAGCUGUAUUUAAGUUGACAUGAACAAAACUUGACAAUCAUGGUUUGAUAAUGAUCCAGCGAGCAUCUUGUACUGUACUUCAAUGGAAGCGAGAACAUCUGCUCGUCUGUGCAAAGAAGUUCAGAUAGGAUUUCUAAAUAUUUCUUCAUGUUUGGUUUAUUUUCAGGUUUAACGUAAAGCAAAACUACAGUUUUUCAAUGUGGACUACAGUGUCCAAAAGUUUCCACAAAAAUUGUGAUUUUGUUUUGGAGCUUGGCAACAAAAAGGUCUGUGAAGAUUCUUCAAACUUUCCACAGACUAAAUAACAGCAAACAAGUUUGGAAUGACAUGAGGAAACACCUCCAUGUUAAGCGGCUGCCCACAGGAAGUGAGUCCUUUGGGGAGGAAAUGGCUCCCAGAUGUGUGGAGGUGACCCAGAGCUCUGGGGAGAGAGGUGAGCGAAGGUCAGUCUUGAGGGAAGAAGAGAAGAAGGACAACAGAGUGUCACAACCUUCGUUUUGGGAUUGUGUAAGAAAAACACAUUUGUAACUUCGACUGAAAACAUGAUGCUCCAAUUAAUCUGCUUUUACUCUGUUAUGAAAACAAAAAUCAGAUGCAUUUCUGAUUGCACUGGUUUACACUGUUUUCUUAAAUUAAACCUUUAAUUGUAAAUAAACAGGACACUGCUAUAUGAUGUUUCAGUAGCAUUUUAGGGACCAAUUCUUGCUAUUAACUAGCUGCUUAUUAAUAUAGCAGUCAAUAGCAUAUUGACUGGUUGUUGGGUUUGAGGGAGGUUAAAGUAGCCCCCAAAGUAGUGCACUGUCCAUAUCCCAAAUAUCAAAACUCAAAACAUGUAAUUUCCAUUCCUAAAAUACAUAUUUUAUAGUCACUGUUAUGCAGGUUGAUCUUAAACACAGCUAAAAUGCUUCCUACCAGUGCACCCUUCAUAAAACUUAACAUCUAUAAAAAAAUUAUCACAGGUAGAAUGCUAAAUAUUUCAAUAUAAGCAUUUCAGUCAAAUGUAAUUUAUUCAAUAUUUCAAACCUUUAACCCACGGGAGAAAAUCAACCCACCACAACAGUUUAAAAUCAGCCCAAUUCUGUGCAAAAAAAAAAGUGGAUUUGGCAACCCUGCAUCCAACAUGAACUUCAUCCAAAGUGAUUUAAAUACUCCGUGAAUUAAUAGGGGCUUCCUGAUGCACGAAAAUUAUAUUCAAUAUUAGAAUGUUUGUGGGAGCGGGACAGAAACAG